rnacentral:lncRNA from 1 species
UUAAAUACACUUGAGGAAAGGGAAAGGGGGAGAGGAGCGUGAGAGAGAGAAAGGGGGAGGAAGAUUAAGUAAUAAAGAAAUAAGGAGCUUGGCGCCCAAGAAAGCUUAAAUGCUGCACUGCACACCUGCACUGUACAACACUGCACACCUGCACUGCAGUGACACCUUGGCUGCUUUUUUUGAUAUAUUGCCACCAUUGAAAUGACCAGCAGAGUUUGGAGAAGAGCCCAAUUCACUGGUAGUGUAUCGCACGGUAAUAUCGGAGACUUCUCUACUGUAAGAUUUAUAGAUGGCACAUUGCAUUAAUACUCCUAAACUUUUCAAGAUUUAUUGACAGUGCUUACAUUUAACUUAUACAUUGUGUUUUUAACUCUACAACUUUUGUGUCCCAAGGGAGAGAUGAUGCAUGGAAAAGCAAAAAUGAAUUUGCUCUUUCACUUGCUUGAAAUUCUUCAUAGUGAAGAGUUGGUGGCAACAGAAGAUAAUAUUGAAAGUGUUUGAGUGGAAAUUGUUGAGUGGAAAUUGUUGUCUGAUACUUCCAUUUAUCAACUUCCAUUUAUCCUGCAAUGUGUACUUCCUGCUAACCAAUAAAGUUUGUCUUUUUCCCCUGUGAUCGUUUUGUUUGGCAUUCACUCAAAUACCCCUCGGCAGUUAACUGCCGAAAUUUUAGAAAUACGGCUGCAGUUAACUGCCGAGGGGUAUUUGAGUAAUUUACUCGCGUGGCACAGCCAAACCAAAAGUGGGAACAACAAUUCUCCAAGAAUAUUCAAUUCAAAGUUGCAGAAUCAACGAAACAGGGUUUAUGGUUUUUCUGUCUCUCUUCGACUUUAACUCCAAAUAAUCACUUUCAUGGCACCAAUGCUUCACUACCAAACCAACUUAUGUAAAUAAGCCCUUUUUCCUAUUCACCCUUUUCGCUACUUCUUCAACCUAAAACGGAACCUUUCUCACACUAUAAAGCUGGGGUAUUAUUGGGUUUGUUUUCAGCCAUGCGGGUCUCUUCUCAGAGUACCGCUUUUAGGUCAACUUUUUAUUGCCCCUCUUGUUUCUCUUUUUCUUCUUCUUCUUCUUCCAGACCCUUUCGUUCUUCUCUCUCUUCUUUAGGUUUUUUUGCUAACUAUGGUUCAUCUCAACACAGGUUUGUUCUUUCUUAAUUCAAAGUUCUUGUCUUUUUUAUAUUUGGUCUUGUUUUUAGGUUGGCCCAUGUGCUAAUAUUGCUUCUUAAGUUGAGGAAUUUUAUGUGUUGUGUUUUGAGUUUGGUGGAAUUUUUACUUGUUUUUGGAUUAUUUGUUUGUAAUGUGUGCACACUAUGUUUGUUGUUUUGUUUUGUUUUGUUUGUUACUAAAGCACGGACACUUCAAAUUGAAGGCACACAUGUGUCUGACACCAACGUGUGUGUCCGACACCGUACAACACAUGUGAUCACAUUCAAUUAUGUCAUUUUCUCAAAUUAUUAACAAUGUUUCUCAAAUUAUUAACAAUGUUAGACGGUGUGACUCGUGAGUGACAAUGUCGCGUCCGGUGUCACUGUCUGCUUCAUAGAUUGUUCUAUUAAUAAUAUUUUUGAAUGAAAUAUCCUGUUCUCUACUAGCUUGGCUGAACUUUUGAUCCCCGCCUCAAAUAUAAGGAAAUAAAAGUCAAACUAAGUAGAUGUUGCUUGGUCGAAUUUCUUUUGCUUAUAUUUGAGACCGGAGUACUCAACAAUGCAUUCGUAAAGAUGAAGUUUGUAAUAGAAGUUUGGUUUUGUUUCUUCUUUCCUGCAUUUUGUGAAACUGUUUCUGAAGUGGGGAGAGGGUGUGAGGAUGGUAUUCAGCUUUGAAGCACAAAUGUGGAUACCAACACUGACACCGAUAAUAAUUUUAGAAAAUAGAAGUGAUUGUAUGUAAUUAUUAGUGUCAGUAUCGUGUCGAUGUAGUACACACCUUCAAUUGGAACUGUAGGGGCUACAUAGGUAUUGAGUAAAUGUGUAUAGAGUUUGAUUUGAUAGUAAAAGUGAACAGGAACUGUGUAGGAAGUUUGUUUGUGGUGUGUUCAGAUAAAAAUCUAUAAAGCUUUUGCUCAUUGUAUUUUUAGGGGUUUUCUCAUAUGGUUGUCUUUCUAACUAUAAAAUCGUAAAUGUUCAGUUUAUGGACUGUUCUGGUGUUGUGAAGGCUUGAACAGUACUUUUUUAUUUUAAACACCGGUAAAUUUUUUGUCACGUGAUUGAAAGGUCACGGAUGCAAGUCCUGGAAAUAGCCUCUUGUGUAAAAAUCAAGGUAAGGUUGCGUACAAUACACCUAUUGGUGGGACCCUUUCCCAGACUUUGUGUAUGCAUGAGCUUUAGUGCACCGGGCUGCCAAAUGCCAAAUACAAAUUUGAGUGAAAAUAAAAAUAAAAACUCAAGGGUUUAUAGAAAUGGUUACCUCGCACGAGGUGUAACCGCUGGAAUUUUACAUCGCUUAAUGAUUUCUAGUAGCUUGAUGUUUAUGUUAAAGUUUGAUUUUAAAUUUGUUAGUUUGCUUAACUUUUAUCCAUUGUUUUAAAAAUGAAUAUUAACAAUUCAACAUUGAAUAUCUAGAAGCAAGUCAUAAGGUUUAAACCAUGAAGUGGUAUGUAAAUGACUUUACUGAAAUUCUUCUAUAGUCUUCUUCUUCCUCCUUUUCUUCUGUAAAUUUUGUUAUUUAUAUUGGAAAUCAAUAUUUUGUAUUACUCAUGAAAAAGCGUGCAUGUUAAAAUUGGUUUGCAUUGGAUGUUGACUUUUUGCUGUGUACAAGUCCUUGUUUCUCGUUAAAAGGUUGAGACUGGAGUAAUUAAAAAGAACUUCACAUAUACUAAUGAAGUAUUUAUAUUUUAAUUGGUUUCAUAGAUGCUAAGAAGCCCAAAGAAAAAAUUAUAAAAUACCCAGCUAGGAACAUCAAAUUAUUCUGAGCCUGAGAGUAAUCAUAUGCAAAUGUUGGUCGUUGAAUACAGUGUCACUAAUGAUAUAUUUGAUAGUGGAAAUGUUAUAAUUUAUUAUUAUUCAUGACAUUUUAGAAGUGAAAAUAUGUAUAGAAGGGGUUUUUUCUUUAGCUGGUGUUUCACGCAUGGUUGCAUAGCCUUGUUUGCCUGAGUUGUUUGUUAUUAUACUGCGUCGUCUUCAGCGGGCUAUGAAAAUUAAAAUAUACUAUUUCGAUCUAUUGAUUGGUAGCUUUGUAUUUAUUUUUUUUGCAUGAUAUGCGCAGACAUCGCAAUUUGUCUGGUAGCUUUCUUCAAUUUAGAGAAGGUUCAUACUGUCCAAAGCGAAUAUCUUUUGGGUUGAAAAAAUGCAAUGACAUGGAGUAUCAUCGUAAUUCUCCAGUACAUAUUUCAGUUAUGAAAUUUUCAACUGCAUCAUUUAGCACGUUGAAGGUAACAAAUCAAACAAGACGGGAAGAAGAGCUGAGCUCUUUGAGUUCUUACGACAGACAAGUUAGGAUGAUGACACAUUUUGGUUCUUGCAGUUACAGAUUAUCCAAAACACCUCGUAGAAAGUUAUCUGGUGAUAGAACCGGAUGGGCUGAGGCUGGGCAUAAAUUGACUCAGAUAAAAAUGGAAAUGCAUGAUCUGGACAAACGUAGUUUGUAUCCAUCCAAUACAAAUACAAUUGCUUCUUCUAUUGCUCAGAAACCAGCUAUUACUCAAAACGAAGGGCGCAAUCUUAUGCUGCAUGAUCUAUGUGAACCUGCCUCAUCUUCUGUUCAACAUUCUAUGUUAAACAACUCAAUGUUAUUGAUAGACACUGAAAGAGUUGGUACCGAGUCAAAUGUAUCUUCAUUAAAGACCGGUGAAGAGAAAAUUCAUGGCGUUGAUGGCACUGAGUCAAAUGUGUCUUCAUUAAAGACCAGUGAAGAGAAAAUUGACAAUGUUGAUGGCAAUCACAGUUUGGAUGCUACUGCAAAAGACGCAACUAAGGCAAAACUUACUGUUAGAAUGAUACGCAGUGAUGAACAAUCAAAACUUCGGGAAAGGCUCUGUAGUAUCUAUGAAGACAUACUGGUUGUUAAUAAUAUUUCUCAUGCAGAGCAAGUAGCUAAGAUGCUUACAGUAAAUUACAGGCAUCUUAUUCAUGCAUGUGAUACCGAGGUAUUAUUAUUGACCGUGUUAACUUUUAUUCUGAUUGUGCCCUAAUUGCAACACUGUACACGACUAGAUUCUUUUUCCAAUAUGCAUAUAUAUACUUUGGACAUGAGGUCAAUGGAUGUAUCCUUUAGUCCUUUUUAACUAAUACAAAUUGAGUCUUUUCAAUAAAAGUUGUGCCACUAUGAAUCUCUUGGCUACUUGUAUUUUACGAUGUUGAGCAUGUGAUAUGUGCCGAUUUUGAUUGACUUGAAAGGUAUCCAAGAUAGAUGUCAAACAAGAAACGCCUAUAGAUCAUGGGGAGAUAAUAUGCUUCAGUAUUUAUUCGGGUCCAGAAGCUGAUUUUGGAGGUGGGAAAUCAUGUAUCUGGGUGGAUGUUCUUGACGGUGGAGGCAAAGAGAUAUUGAAUAAGUUUGCCGAUUUUUUUCAAGAUCCAUCGAUAAAAAAGGUGGCUUCUCUUUCUUUUCAUUCUUCCUUUUAUGGUUUUAGUCUUAUUACUCAUCUUUAUGUUCAGAACCUCUUAAGAGUUUGUUUGAUUAUAUUUUGGUAGAAUGAUUUAAACAAUUUUGAUGUUAAUUUUUUUUUGCAUUUGGGUAUGCUGUUUUAAAAGCGAGUUUAAAAGAAUUGCUUUUGUUUUUUAUGGUAAAAUUAGUAGUUUGACUCAUGUUGUUGUGUCAUAUUAGUAGUUUAUUGCAAAUUGUCAUAUUCAAGUUAGUAGUCUAAGUGUUUAAAUUAAUAUAUUUACCUGGUAGCAAAUUGUUAGGCGUUUUAGGCGCAGAACAAAACAUUUGCAUCAUUUUAAAGGAGUAAUAUUAGAUAUAUGUGAUUGUUAAUAUUAAAGGAGUAAUAUUUGAUAUAUGUGAUUGUUAAGGGCCAAUUGAUAUUCUUAUUUCAUUGCCUAGUAAUGUAAACAGGAAAAGCCCCACCUUUUCACAGUAUCACUUACAGCCUCUACCCAACUUUAUUACAUGAACCUAUAGAUUCUCUCUUAUGUAGUAGUGUUUGAACUUUUAACCAUACGGGUAAUAGUUGGGCUGUGUUUUAUGCCUUGCAAGCAUAUCAAAUUGAGAUUCAAAUCGUGAAUCAGAAAACCAGUUUUCGAAUCGUUAAUCAAAUCUUGUUAUUAAUAGCUAGAUACAUUAUCAAUAAAAAUAUAACAUUUUUAUGCAAAAUCAAGUGACAUACACAAAAGCACAAGCUAAUAUAUCAUAUGCUUACCUCAAAGUAAUUUAAGAUUCAAGUAAUAACAUGACAGAAAAGUGUUUGGCUACACAAAAUUGUGGUUGUACAAAGUUCAAGGGAAAGUUGAGCACAGAGAUUCAUAUUGAUUGUGUUUUGUUACUAAUUGAGAUACAACUCUCAACUUAGUUAAAUAACUGUUUGCCGUUUCCAACUUUAUAAUAUACAGGAGGACACUUUUAGUGGAGUACUUGUCAGUCAUGUCAUUCCACAACCGGUGACAAAAUAAUGGCCUGCAUGUUUGUACUUUUCUAAAUUCUAAAUUAUUAUUAUAUUUUUUACAUAAAAAUGUUUGAAUUUUAAAAUAUUUGGAUUUGAGGGGGGGGGGACCAAAGAAAAAUAGCCUUGGUGUUCUUCUUGAUAUCAUAAAAAAGGACUGUAAUAGUUCUUAACUAAAAAGAUUAUCCAGUUGUAUAAUUCUAGCUUCAUAAAUUGAUAGCGGCAUUUUAUUAUUGGGUUUAUGUGACGUAGAUUUGAAAAUGAUAUUUGAAGUAAUAAAGUUACUGGUGCACUUUGUAGGUUUGGCAUAACUAUAGCUUUGAUUGUCAUGUUAUACAAAAUUAUGGAUUUAAGGUUUCUGGAUUUCAUGCUGAUACAAUGCACAUGGCACGACUGUGGGAUUCAUCAAGACGUUUGGUUGGUGGUUAUUCUCUUGAAGCACUUAGUGGCGACAAAGAAGUCAUGUCUAGGGGUAAUCUGAACCAUGAAACGGAUUUGAUUGGUAAGGUGUCGAUGACAACCAUAUUUGGUCAGAGAAAGGAGAAGAAAGAUGGAUCUAUGGGUAAAAUCGUUACCAUUGAGCCUGUUGAAGUACUGCAAAGAGAAGAGCAUAUACCUUGGAUAUGUUACUCUGCUUUAGAUGCCAGAAGCACUCUGAAGCUUUAUGAGAGCCUAAAAAGUCAUCUGUCAGAUUUACCUUGGAAAAUUGAUGGAGAACUUUUACGCGAAAACAUGUUUGAUUUUUACGAGAUAUAUUUGCAGCCAUUUGGUGAACUUCUUGUCAAAAUGGAAUGUGAGGGUAUGCUAGUUGAUCGGUUAUAUCUUCAAGAAAUAGAAAAGGUGGCCAAAGCAGAGCAACAGGCAGCUCUUAAUAGAUUCCGAAAAUGGGCAUCUAGGUAUUGUCCUGAUGCCAAGUAUAUGAAUGUUGGAAGCGAUACACAGUUGCGUGUACUGCUUUUUGGUGGCACUGUGAACAGGUGCACAUUAUUUAAAUCUUUUGUGGAGCUUUUGCUUCGAUCUUAAUUCAUUGAUAAUUUGAUAGAAAAGUUACAAUUCUAUUUAUGUAAUUGUUCUUAGUUGUUUAUAAUGAAGUGGUUCACGUAAAUCAUUUUUCCUGCCCUGUUAUACAGAGAAAACCACAAUGAGGCAAUUCCAACGGAGCGGAUUUUCAAAGUUCCGAAUGUUGAUAAAGUGAUUGAAAAAGGAAAAAAGAUUCCCUCAAAAUUACGUGAUAUUAAGUUGAAUAGCAUUGGAUGUAACCUGAAUGUUGACAUUUACACACCUAGUGGCUGGCCCUCAUGUAGUGGUCCCGCUUUAAAGGCGCUGGCUGGCAAAGUUUCUGCUGAGUAUGACUUUGAUCUUGAGGAUGAAGAUGGUAAUCCUUCUCAAAGGGAAGAUGAGCCUUUAGAAAUAGAUAAUUCUGCUUAUGGAACAGCCUAUUUUGCUUUUCCAACAGAGGAAGAAGGGAGAGAAGCUUGUCAUGCAAUUGCUGCUUUAUGUGAAAUCUGCUCAAUUGACUCUUUGAUCUCUAAUUUUAUCCUUCCCCUGCAGGUAAUUAUUCUUUUCUCUCCAAUAAGUUUAUUCUGGACUUUUUCACUGCUCCGGUUGUGUUCAUGGAUUUUCAUGUUGCUCCUAUAAACUUUGCUUAUACAGUGCGACUGGCAUUUAUAGUGUUUUUUGUCAAAGCAUUUAAAACAUUGUCAAGGUUAGUUUAUAAUGAAGGUUUUUUAUGUCUGCUUUGUGGUAGCUUAAUACGUUUCAAUUCAAUGACAGGGACAUAAUAUAUCGGGGAAGGAUCAGCGUGUUCAUUGUUCCAUAAAUAUCAACACAGAGACUGGACGCUUGUCGGCAAGACGACCAAAUCUACAGGUUCUUCCAACUCCCAUUUCUUUCAAAUUCCAUACUCGUUGUUGAGUUACUUAAUUUAACCCUUUUGGGUUAAUGGUGCUUUACCCCCUAUAAUAUAGGUCAUUUUUGGUUUUCCCCCCUGUAAAAUAAUUUUUUUGAUUUACUGCCUGUAAAAUUUUUUUUGUUUUGGAAUACCCCUAAUAGGUAAUAAAAAAACGAAAAAAUUCUGGAAAAAAAAAAAAAUAAAGUCGUUUUUUAUGACCUAUUAGGUUGGUAUUCCAAAAAAAAAAAUUUUUUACAAGGGGGUUAAUCAAAAAAAAUAUUUUACAGGGGGGAAAACAAAAAAUGACCUAUAUUACAGGGGGGGUAAAGCACCAUUAACCCUUUUUUAAAAUGCCAUACAUGUUUCUGUCCUUCUGUUUGUCUGUGUAUACGUAUUUUGUUAUAUGAGGGGGUGAGGUUGAUACAAAGUCAUUCCUAUGACCUCACGUAAUAGCUUAACCUUUUAGAAGAGUUGGUUCAUGACAAUGCUAAAUUAAAAUGAUAGAUUGUUUAUGUUAGAGCUAUCAAGGAUAUGUACGAGGGAGCUUCGACUAGUAUGAGGACACAGGAUCAACCUUCAGUCCUUACAUUUUUACUUUAGUUUUGGAUGUGACGGAACACAUCCAAGAGUUAGCACCAAGAUGUAUGCUUUUUGCAGAUGAUGCAGUCCUGCUUGGAGAGUUGAGGGAGGAAUUGAAUGGGAGGUUAGAGACUUGGAGACAAGCCUUAGAAGCGUAUGGCAUCCGCCUUAGUAGAAGCAAGACAGAGUAUAUGGAAUGUAACUUUAGCAAAAGGCAAAGUAGUCCUACCUUGGAGGUGAAAGUUGGACGCCUUAGUAGAAGCAAGACAGAGUAUAUGGAAUGUAACUUUAGCAAAAGGCAAAGUAGUCCUACCUUGGAGGUGAAAGUUGGAGAUCAUAUCAUACCCCAAGUUACAUGGUUUAAAUAUCUUGGGUCCAUAGUACAAAAUAACAGAGAAAUAAGAGCAGAUGUAAAUCAUCGUAUCUUGAGAUGAUGUUGUGUUGGAUGAGUGGUAAGACUACACGAGAUACGAUUAGAAGUGAAAUCAUUAGAGAGAGAGUUGGGGGCAGCACCUAUAGUAGAAAAGAUGGUAGAAAAUAGGUUUAGGUGGUUUGAGCAUGCAGAGAGAAGACCUGUAGAUGUUGUAGUAAGAAGAGUAGAUCAGAUGGAGGAGAGUUAGAUCAAAAAGGUAGAGGAAGACCUAGAAAAACUAUUAGGAAAUAUUUAGAGAUUAAUGAGUUGGAUCUCAAUAUGGUUUAUGAUAGAACAUUAUGGUAUAAUUUGAUCCAUGUAGCGACCCCACUUAGUGGGAUAAGGCUUGGCUGCUGGUUUGGUUACUGCAUUAAAAAAUCUUUUACUUAAAUAUGUUUUUGUGCCAAUCAAAGUUUCCUUCCCCAUACAGAAAACAUUAAAACGUACAUUUUGGAUUUGGAGGGGGGGAUUUUCAGAAAUUUUGCUUUGAACUUUCAAAUAGAAGCAUGUAUUACAUUUUCUCAUCAGAUUUAUACUUGGACCACAUUAAUCAUUGUAUUUCAAAAAGUUGCAGAUUUAAUCUAACCUGUAUGAUUCAUAUAUCAGAAUCAACCAGCUUUGGAAAAGGACCGAUACAAAAUCCGUCAAGCAUUCGUAGCUGCUCCUGGAAAUUCUCUUAUAGUUGCGGAUUAUGGGCAGGUUUUUUAGUUUACUUAUCUGUCUAAUUGAGCUAGUUUCUUUGUAUUUCAUUCAUGGUUGAUGGAGUUAUUAUGUAACGUAACAGUUGGAGCUCAGGAUACUUGCACAUCUUACUGAUUGUAAGAGCAUGUUGGAAGCCUUUGAAGCUGGUGGAGAUUUCCACUCCAGAACUGCAAUGAAUAUGUACCCAUAUAUUCGUGAAGCAGUUGAAAAAAAGGAAGUUCUUCUUGAAUGGCAUCCUCAACCUGGUGAAGACAAACCCCCUGUUCCUCUCCUCAAGGUAAAUUUACUUCUCAUCAACAUAUCUUAAGAUGGUAAUAACCUUGCAUUCCGUGCACAAUUAGAACUCGUUUUGGUACACCUCGAACAUAGUUCUCGUUAUUGUAAAUACAAUGACGAUAUUAAAUUGCAGAAAAGUUAUUUUAGCACAAACCAACAUCCGACACCGUAUUUUGGUGCAUUUUGAUUUAUUUAUUUUUAAUUAUUUUUCUGUCCUUUGGUCAAACCACACUAACUCGGGAUGUAUUAAAUUAAUAGGGCUAUAUUAUUUUUAUUAAUUUUUUCUAAGUAAUAUAUUUUACUGAAAGGGAACCAAUGACGUACUAAUUUAAAAGGUGACCUAAAUAUAAACCUUUGAGGAGGAAUUAUAAGAAGCGAAUAUAUUUUGUACAGAGGUUGAAGUUCUUUACCAGGAAAUAUGUUGUAUCUAUCUCAACCGCAUAAAAUUGGCCUAAAAAUCUGAAAUGUAAAACCUUUGAGGAGGAAUUAUACGAAGGGGGUAUAUUUUAUAGAGCAGUUGAAGUUCUUUAUCACAAAAUCUGCUGUAUCUAACUCAACCACAUAGAAUUGGCCUAAAAAUCUGCAAUAUAAACGGAGAAUUAUAAGAAGCGGAUGUAUUUUAUAGAGCAGUUGAAGUUUUUUGUCAGAAAAUAUGUUGUAUCUAACUCAACUGCAUCAAAUUGGCUUCUAUGGUGAUGACUGUCUAGGUUUUCAAGCUGCGUUUAGGCCAUUUCUCUAGCCAAUGUGGGACUUGGUUUUUCGAAAUAGAGAGCUUUGUUUAGCAGCUUAGCUUUAUAUAGUAAUCUUGAAACCCGAGAUAGGUCUUCUUCUGAGUGUUUAGUAGAAACUUAUGAGAAAACAAGCACAUUAUUAUAUUUCGUAUCAAUUUAUAUCCUUUUCCUAUCUCAGGAUGCCUUUGCUUCUGAAAGAAGAAAAGCCAAAAUGCUUAACUUCUCAAUUGCAUAUGGAAAGACUCCACAAGGUCUUUCUAAGGAUUGGAAGGUACCAUGAAUUCUAUCAUAUAUCACGAGGUGCUUACAUAGGUUACAAGUCUCUGAAUUUUGAUUUGAUUGUACAAAUAUUUUCUGUCAGGUUUCUGUGAAAGAAGCUAAGAACACAGUUGACCUCUGGUACAAUGAUAGAAAAGAAGUUUUGAAAUGGCAACAGAAACGUAAAAAAGAAGCUUUUGAAUUUGGGUGUGUUUAUACGUUGCUAGGACGAGCCCGGCGAUUCCCCGAGAUAUUCCUAGGUCGUCGUAACUACUACAAAGGUCACAUUGAGCGUGCUGCUAUUAAUACCCCAGUGCAGGUCCUCUAGUCUUUCAAAUAUACCAAGACUACAUUAUUCCCAUAGAACUUCAUAGCAUUUAGAAAUCAUUUUUUUCCCAUUAUAAUGCAACAGGGAAGUGCAGCUGAUGUUGCCAUGCUUGCCAUGUUAGAAAUAUCCAAAAAUAAACAGUUGAAGGAGCUUGGAUGGAAGUUACUUCUUCAGGUUAAUAUCUGUGCAAAGAUUUUUCUUGUUUAUAAUCUCUAUCCUCACUCUUUGUCAAGUUCCAUUCAACCUCAAUAUUUUCAUCCACUUGAAUUUCAAUUUCAAUACCAGUUAUUUUCCAUUCUUCAUAGUACUCCAUAGUUUAUUAUACAUUGGUUUUUGCUUUGUCAUUUUUUUCUUUUCAACCUCAUUUUCCGAUCUCAAUUGAUAUAUGAAUAUAAUGAGCAUUAAAGCUCUGUUAUCAUGGCUUUUGCCUCUAUAUUCAUAUGAAUGCUUUUUCAUAUGUAAGCGUUUUGGCUAAGAUUUUUGCACAUGACAACAUAGGUUCAUGAUGAAGUCAUAUUGGAAGGACCAACAAAGUCAGCUGAGGUUGCAAAGAAUAUAGUUAUUGACUGCAUGUCAAAACCCUUCAAUGGCCAAAAUAUUCUUAAAGUUGGUCUCACUGUGGAUGCCAAGUGUGCACAAAACUGGUAUGCCGCAAAAUAAACAUCAAAUCAAAACUGUUGUGCCGCGGUUUGGUGGGGUAGUUUUGCACCCUUGGCUUUAAUACGAAGGUCAUGGAUGAACUUGGUUGCAUACAAAACUGUAUUGUUUCUCUGGUGACUAUAAUCAAAAGAGGUUGUGAUGCAACUUGGGGUGCCUUCUAUUUUUGCAUGGAAAAAGUAAUGUCCUUUUGGUCUCAUGUUAUCCUCUUUCAUUUUUAGAGAGGUUAUGGAAAUGGUUUCAUUGUGAAUUUUGUGUAUAGAAUUUUUAAUUAUGAAGCAGAAGGCCAAAAUCAAUGGUGUCCAAUGAAGCACCGAUACCAAUAUGGACACCGGACACGUCAUUGGCACGUCGACACGGGUGAUAAUUUCAAAAAGUAAUUAAUUAAAUGCCGUUGCACGUGUCAUUGUUGUGUCGUUACUAAAAAUUAGUAUCAGCGUUUGUUAGCUCUACUCUGUUUUUUUCUUCGUGUUUUUAUUUUACAAGCUCAUAGUAUGUUUUGUCUUGUAUAAUGUACCAAUGUGGCUCUAUGCUUUGUGCAACUAUGUAUUAUUUUGUAUAGUUGUAUAUAAAACGAAAAUUUCAAAUUCCAUCUCAUUUGCCAAUGUUCAUGACUGGUUGCAAACUCAUUACAUCUCCUGCAUUAUUGAUACUAUUUUAGACGAAUUAACAUUAAGAAAGUUAAUGCUAAACGCAGCUGCAAAGAAAAUGUGCUUGUGAAUGUUGAUAUUUUUUAUUUAUUUUAUAAAGAGAAUAUUGCUGAUAAUUGUGGAGCUCAAAGUAGGUGUUAUUAAGAUUAUCACCAAACCCAGUUAAUGAACAAUAUGCUGGUCUUUUUAUUUUUUUUUUAUUUUUAAGAUUGUAAGAUUCAGUUCAAUUUUUAAUUACAGUAACUAAAUUCUUGAAAUAUUGACAAUUAUUUCACAACGCCUACACAAACGUUACCGUUUAUACCUCAAGAAGAAAAAAAUAGUUAAGAGUUUAUGAUUAAUUAAUGCAUUAACCUUUUCUAAUUCAUCCUUUUUGUAUACACACCGUUUUCCACUAUAUUUCCUUCUAUUUGUAAGAGGACUAUGAACUUCCUCAUUUUCACAUCCCUUCCAUUGAAACACAAAGUAGUAAGUAUAUAUGGUAGUGUCAUCCAGUGCGAUGGGAUAAAAAAGGAUAGAAUCACCUUCAAGUAUAUCCAGCUAGUAUAUAUGAUAAUGUCAUCAUAGGUUUAGUUUGUUAGUUAGAAAAAUGUUUACCAAUAAUGUAUUCAAAAAUUUCAUUGCUCUCUUAUGUCAUGAUGUUUGCUUCAUGUAACCAAUCGAUCUGCAAGAUAAAGAGGUUGAUUUGGAAAAUACUCAAUCACCGGUGGACAAGAACAAAAAUACCUUCAGAUUCAAUUUCACACGCCGGUGAUGUUGUGAUAUAGUCCAUAGUUAGAGCUACAAUAAGUAGUUUGAAGGAUGUUCCUGCAAGUGUUGUGAACAUUCUAGAUAGAAGAUUUAAGUGUCCCUAGCUCUAUUCUAAUGGCUACUAAUAUAAUUCUCAAGAAUCUUUAUUAAGACCAUAUUCCAUUUAGUAAAUUAGGAUGGAUUUGCAUCCAAACUUAAAUAUACAAAUUCAAAUAGAAGAACUCCAUAUUUGAAGGAUUGCUUGAUUAAAUACUGAAACAAUGGGGGACUUUAUGAACAAAUAUAUGUCUCUUCACCAAGAAUAAGAAACCAUGUUAGAAAGUUUCGUGAUUAGCACCUCGCUAAAUAAUAAUAUCUCCCAAGUCCCACCUAAUCAAUAAAGAGAAAAUGUGUAUAUGAAACCAUAAGGUUUUAGGACUACUAUGGUUCACUGAUAUGUAAUCAGUUUAAUGAAAAGCUUAUGUCUUCACUAAAAAGCUUUGACUUCAGAUAGAAUGUCUUUAUCGGGUUGUCUUUUGGCCGGUGGUGUAGAAAGAGUGAGACUUGGAUCAUAUAACCCACAUUGAUUCCUAAAAAGUUCAAUUAGUUGUUAGACAUAAUUAAUUGAUUAUGAUUAAAUGAAAAUUUUAUGAGCCAGGCGGGAUAGAUAUCUUACAGAAGUUUCCAUUGAAACAUCCUUAUCUUCUUCAAUCAUAUUGAGAGACAGAACUUCCUUAAAUGCAGAUGAAUGUAUUAAAACUAGUGUGAGACCCGUGUCGAUGCCACGGGCUUAUAAAUAAUUGUAGCGGUCGUCAAUUAAUCAAACAAUACAACUAAAAAUAUGAAUAUGAAUCAAAAGUCUACCUAAUAAAUAUGAACAAAAGAAAAAGGUUUGCAAAUCCAAAAAUUUAUUUAAAAUAAAACGAUCCCGUAGAUCAGGUGACGACUCAGAAUGUAUGUCAUGUUUUUUCAUUUAAUAAUAUUUGUAAACACUCACAAACACACAUAUUUAGCCUUAUAACCCUAUUUUGUACUAAGAAUGUUAUGAAUGAUGAGACUUUGCAUAAGACAAUAAAGGUUUAAAAGUAUAAUUAUAAAUAUAAAUGUUAUGAAUAAAAUAGAUGUAGCUGUCAAUGUAGAAAUGAUGGUAGAAUGUUCUCUUAGGCCAUUUGGUUAUGUGAGGGGAGGAAACCUGUAGAAAUUAAAGGAGUAAGAGUUAAUAUGUGCGAGCAUUGUGUUCAGCAUAAAUAACUUUUUAUUAAGGGCUUCAUCAAGAUGCUAUACCUUAAACUUGUUUAUUUAGAAAAGAUCUAUCAUUUGCUUUCAUAUUAUGGGCUUCUAGCUGAAAAAAUGAAGAGGAUAAUAGAAACUUAAUGAGUACCAUGAAAAGAUAUAUCCCUUAAAUUUUAUGAAAACCUAUAAUUUGGUGAAAUAUUCUUAUUAUUGUAUUCUUCUGGAAUGCCUUCAUACCGCUGGUGUGGUUCCUUCAAGAAUUCGUUGAUUUGGUUGUAGAAACCUAUGGAAGAUAGAUAAAGAAGAGGCAAAAAGAUGCAUGUUGAAUAUACAAAUGGAGAAUAACAAAAAGAUAUCCAUGUACUUACACAUAUCUUGUUAAAAAGAGUGCAUACCAAUGAGAUCAGCUUUUUGUUUUAUCAUCUAAUAUACCACCUGCAUCAUCAAUUGUAGAGUAUGUUUAUGUAAGUUUAUCAAACAUCAUGAAAAUGUAUUACAAUACAAUCAUUAAGGAAAAAGAAGCAGAAACUUACUUUGCUAGAAAAAUGUAUGAAGGAUUUUUGGCAUGAUAGAGAUGAAUGAAUGAGAUGGGAAGGCAAUGGUUUAAAUACACUUGAGGAAAGGGAAAGGGGGAGAGGAGCGUGAGAGAGAGAAAGGGGGAGGAAGAUUAAGUAAUAAAGAAAUAAGGAGCUUGGCGCCCAAGAAAGCUUAAAUGCUGCACUGCACACCUGCACUGUACAACACUGCACACCUGCACUGCAGUGACACCUUGGCUGCUUUUUUUGAUAUAUUGCCACCAUUGAAAUGACCAGCAGAGUUUGGAGAAGAGCCCAAUUCACUGGUAGUGUAUCGCACGGUAAUAUCGGAGACUUCUCUACUGUAAGAUUUAUAGAUGGCACAUUGCAUUAAUACUCCUAAACUUUUCAAGAUUUAUUGACAGUGCUUACAUUUAACUUAUACAUUGUGUUUUUAACUCUACAACUUUUGUGUCCCAAGGGAGAGAUGAUGCAGGGAAAAGCAAAAAUGAAUUUGCUCUUUCACUUGCUUGAAAUUCUUCAUAGUGAAGAGUUGGUGGCAACAGAAGAUAAUAUUGAAAGUGUUUGAGUGAAAAUUGUUGUCUGAUACUUCCAUUUAUCAACUUCCAUUUAUCCUGCAAUGUGUACUUCCUGCUAACCAAUAAAGUUUGUCUUUUUCCCCUGUGAUCGUUUUGUUUGGCAUU